AUGUAGAAGGAAUGCCAACAGAGUGAGCCAGCACAGAAAGACAAACUCAGAUAUUUCUUGUUCAAAAUCUAGAUUAAAAACUCUAUACUUAUUCAUAAACAUAUACACAUAUAUGGGCACACGAGACAUAAAAAAACAAGGGUGAAUGGAACAAGGACACGACAGUUUCACAGUAUGGGGUUGAAGAGAGAAGGUUUUUAUUGUAAAUACGAGGAAGAGUACAGCCAGAAGCAUCUGGAAGAGUCCAGAUCAAUGGGAGAAAAUGGUAGACUAAACAUGGCCAGUAGACUGAACUGGACGUUGUAGAUAUAGAUACAGGAAAACCUCUUAGUGAAAACCCUUAUUUAGUAUAACAAAAACAGUGUGAUCAUCAAAGGGAACAGUUGGGAGUUCCUGGGGACUUGUUCCUUUUCAUUCUGAGACCUUGAACUGUGGAGCUAAUGGCUUUGUUCUCAGGGGAGUGUUGAAGAAUCCUUCCAUGAAAAACUUUCACCCUCAGGACCCAAAUUAAGACUCAGAAGCCACUCUAACCUUCUUGUAACAAGAGAAGACUGGAAGACAACUAGAACAUUCCUGCCGGGCUUACACAAAUCCAGGCCUCCUUGGUCUACAGAGGGAGCAUAGAGGAUGCCAUUUGACAUGAAUGCUGUCCCUUCUGCAGCAGACUCUAUAGAGAGAACCACAGGAAAACACGUCCAUUUAUCAUGUUUUACUCCGAGUACACAGACGCCAUCAAGUCAAAGCAACACAAAGACUGUAUUUUUAUAAGGCUGUAUUUACUCUCUUCUGGGAAGGAUGUUCACGACGUCUGGCCAAACCUCUAGAACUUGGUUGAAGAUCUGAGAGCGACUAACCACAGCUCCUUCACUUC
rnacentral:lncRNA from 1 species